CUGGCUCAGAACGAACGCUGGUGGCGUGUCUAUACAUGCAAGUCGAGCGAGGCAGCAAUGCCGAGCGGCGAACGGGUGAGUAACGCGUAAGCAAUCUGCCCCAUAUCAGGAAAUACCCGUGCCAACGCGCGGUUAAUGUCCAGGAGAGUGGCCCUCUGCAUGGAGGGUUGACUAGAGAUUUAUCGGUAUGGGAUGAGCUUGCGUCCGAUUAGCUAGUUGGCGGGGCAACGGCCCACCAAGGCGACGAUCGGUAGCCGGCCUGAGAGGGUGAUCGGCCACAUUGGGACUGAGAUACGGCCCAGACUCCUACGGGAGGCAGCAGUAGGGAAUAUUGCACAAUGGGGGAAACCCUGAUGCAGCAACGCCACGUGUGGGAAGAAGCAUUUCGGUGUGUAAACCACUGUCAUGAGGGAAUAAGGCCCGCCUUCGGACGGGAUUGAAUGUACCUUGAGAGGAAGCACCGGCAAACUUCGUGCCAGCCGCGGC
rnacentral:rRNA from 1 species